AGGCAGCAGUGGGGAAUAUUGCGCAAUGGGCGAAAGCCUGACGCAGCGACGCAGCGUGAGGGAUGAAGGCCUUCGGGUUGUAAACCUCUUUCAGCGGGGACGAAGCGAAAGUGACGGUACCCGCAGAAGAAGCACCGGCUAACUACGUGCCAGCAGCCGCGGUAAUACGUAGGGUGCAAGCAUUGUCCGGAUUUAUUGGGCGUAAAGAGCUCGUAGGCGGCUUGUCACGUCGGGUGUGAAAACUUGGGGCUCAACCCCAAGCCUGCACUCGAUACGGGCUAGCUAGAGUGUUGCAGGGGAGACUGGAAUUCCUGGUGUAGCGGUGAAAUGCGCAGAUAUCAGGAGGAACACCGGUGGCGAAGGCGGGUCUCUGGGCAACUACUGACGCUGAGGAGCGAAAGCGUGGGGAGCAAACAGGAUUAGAUACCCUGGUAG
rnacentral:rRNA from 1 species